UAGGGAAUUUUCGUCAAUGGGCGCAAGCCUGAACGAGCGAUGCCGCGUGAGUGAAGAAGGCCUUCGGGUCGUAAAGCUCUGUUGCGGGGGAAAAAAGGCAGCAUCAGGAAAUGGGUGCUGACUGAUGGUGCCCCGCCAGAAAGUCACGGCUAACUACGUGCCAGCAGCCGCGGUAAUACGUAGGUGGCGAGCGUUAUCCGGAAUGAUUGGGCGUAAAGGGUGCGCAGGCGGUCCUGCAAGUCUGGAGUGAAACGCAUGAGCUCAACUCAUGCAUGGCUUUGGAAACUGGAGGACUGGAGAGCAGGAGAGGGCGGUGGAACUCCAUGUGUAGCGGUAAAAUGCGUAGAUAUAUGGAAGAACACCAGUGGCGAAGGCGGCCGCCUGGCCUGUUGCUGACGCUGAGGCACGAAAGCGUGGGGAGCAAAUA
rnacentral:rRNA from 1 species